AGUAGAAGCAGAUUUUGGAAAAGGAGAACACGUGAAAGUGAGAAGAGCCAAAGGGGGAGAAGAACUUCGAAGAUUCGACUCUGAGAUUAAGGAUGUAGCGGCGUCUUGAUUGGGUGAAGAUAGCUUGUAAGCUAGCCCGUAGUUCGUGUCGAGUCAUGCUCUGAUUGUAACACUGGGGAACGAUAGUUUAGAGACGAAUUAUUAUGUCAGUCUUGUUGUUUUAUGAUCGUUUUAGAAUAACUUGCAUGGAUAAUGAAUAUGCAAUGUUAUGGAUUAUUGUCCGCUGUGUUGAACAUGAAUUGUAAUUAUGUUAAGUGGUUCCUCGUGUAGCAUGACAAAUGACUAUGGUAUUUUUAUGUUAAAGAAGUUGUGACAUCCUUGUAUUUCAUGUUUACUCUGAAUAUUAUUCUAUUUUCCGCGGGGGUUUAGAAGGGUGUUACAAUAGUGGUAUCAGAGCAUAGUCGGUCGUUGUGACCAGAGUCUUGUUGUUAAUUUUUCCUUUCGGUAUGCGACAUGUGUGUGAAACACUGUCGGUACUCAGUGUGUUCUAACUGUUUGCCUGCAAAAGUGGGAUUGAAACUAGUGGGGGAGAAGUCAUGCUUCUCGGAGAUGUCUCAGAUACAAGAUGUUAGAGUGAUGCGUAGGGCAGCAGUACAAGAGUGUGGAGUUAUUGUUUUCUGAAGUGAAGGUGACAUGGGCUGAAGACUGUGGUUGUUAUUCAGUCGGAGUGUCUCGGAGUAGAUAAUGGUUAUUUCUUAGAAAUGGAAUUUCGAAGUUGUGAUGCUUCAAGUGCUACUGAUGGACUGCGAUGUUGUUGUGUGAGUAGCCCUAUGUGAAAGGUCGCUGUUGAAGCAGUGAUUAAAGGAAGUAUUGUUGUAGACCUUGUCGUAGGAUUACUAGUAAGUAAUUGAGAUGAUAGUAGAGGUUAUCGAUGUUGUUGAGAAAGUUUCGAAGUGCGAGUAAUGCGAAGAGACGAGUAGGGUCUCAAGGAUAAGAAGGUUGAUGAUGGCGUACAUGAAUUUGGUUUCAGUAUGUUGCGGAAAUCGAAUUUCAGCGAGGAAAUGUGUUGUUUAAGUUAUAAGAAGUUUGGAAGCGAAGAGAUGUGAUAAGAUGAUGUUAAUAAUGAGAUUAAUUUGAAAAGAAUGAGUUUUGGAGCGGAAUUUCCGUAAGCAAAUCGCAGGAAGAUUACUGAAUCGUUAUGAAAUUUCGAAAAUUCAUAACUGGAGUUCUGGACAUCCGAUUUGAGUUCCGUUUGAAGCGUCGGAAAGCUAAAGAGAUGGUGUUUGUUAUAAAAAUGGUUGCAGCAGCUGUAACAUAUUUAAUUGUGACCGGGUGUUGUUGGAAGGAGGUGAAGUUACGGUUACACUUGUCCUUAGAACUAGAUUGUUCGUUGGUGCGGCAUGGGAUGUCAGUGUCAGAGUUAAACAGAAUAAAGGAAUAAUGAGGAGGCUUGUUGAGAGGCAACCUUAGAGAUUAAAUGUGCCAAUUGGGAAGUUUUGGAGAUGUCGUAUAGAGUUUCGUUGCAUGGUAUCGGUAUUGUAUCUUGGGUAACGGUUGGAAACAUUCAUAUCUUGAACUCUGAGUAUCGGAUUAGGGUGUCGUUUGAGACUACGAAGAGGUGAGAUUAUGUUAUAACUUGUGGAAGAGUUAUAAAUACAGUAGAGUGGUCCUAUGAGGAGAUAUUAUGAUGUUGGAUAAAGAGGCCUAGACCAGUGUUGAAAUAGGAAUGCUUAUUACCGCGAUUGUUCGGAACGAAGUCGAGUAGAAUAUGUCGUUGAUGAAUAAGAUGAUAAAGAUGAUUUAAGUAUUAAUGGAAUUGAGUGAUGAGGGAAUCAGUAGAAAAAGUGAAAUAGACUUUGGAACCAUUUGUGGUAUAUUGUGAUGCGUCGUUGAUGGGUUUGGAUGGUGUAUUGAUGUAAAAUCAGUAAGUAGUAACUUAUGCGUCGGGAUGAUUGAAAGCGCCGGAAAGGAAUUAUCUGACUCAUGAUUUAGAAUUGGCAGCCAUGGUUUGUUUGAAGUUGCGGUGACGUUAUUUGUAUGGUUCGAGGUUCGAAGUGUUUAGUGAUCAUAAGAGUCUGGAGUACCCUUUUGAUCAGCAAGGACUUAAUGUGAAGCAAUAGAAAUGGUUAGAGUUUUUGGAUUAUCAUCUUGGUGAAGAAAAUGUUGUGCCGAUGCCCUGAGUAGGGAAUCUCUGUAAUGUCGAUGCUGAUGGUGAAAGAGUUGGAUUUAAUUGAACAAUUCAGAGAAUUAAGUUUGGUAUGUGAAGGUGUUUCUACUAAUGUUGGAUUGGGUAUGCUGAGACUGACUAAUGGUAUUCCUGACGAGAUUAGAGGAAAUCAGAAAGUUGAUGUUGAGUUGAUCGAUAAGUCUACUUUGGAUUACCAAAGUAAAGAUGACGGGUUCACAAUCGGAGAGGAUGGUAUAAUGAGGUUGGGGGUCGCUGUUGUGUUCCGCGUGUUACCGAGUUGAGAAAGAAUAUUCUAGAAGAAGGACACCAUAGAGAAUUAUUAGACUAUGGCAAUGUUAAUGAGUUUGGGUGCAAACUCGGAAAAAACGCUAUUAUGUAGUAACAACGGUUUAUGCUUAAAUAUGAUUGUCGGCUAUCUAUUGACAAAUUGAGGACUUGAUCACCCUUAAUCUCUUGUCGAUAAUAGGCGGAAUUAUAUAGGUGGUAUAAGAUUGCUUGUUACCUUAAUGGUAUAAGAUGUGAUGAAUGCUGAGAUGUGAGAACAACCACUCACCAUAUUGUGGGAACUUAUGAAGAAGUGAAUAUGAAGGAGUGCAAAGCAUUGGACGGUGACUUAAGACGAGUAGCGUAGUCGUACAGCGAAAGUAUGAUGUAAAGUGGUGUUAUGAGUGCUACUCGUGAGUAGUGAGAAUUAAUAUGUCGGGGUUCUACAUGGAGAAUAUGUGUUUAUCUAUAUGUGGGGUUUAGAAUCUCGUGGACGUAAGGAUGUCGUGCCAAAGGAUUAUGACCUUUUGAAUAAUUGCCGAGGUGAUGGAUAUCCUAUUACGGUUGUACGUAGUUAACGAGUAGGCAUUCGGAGAAGUUAAGAAGAAGAAUUGAUAUUACGUGAUGCUAUAAUAAUCUUAUGAUGUUGUAAGGUAUUGUGUGGAUUUCUAAUUGAAGUGAAGGAUUAUACUCUACGAAGGACGAAGUUGACUUCAUUCUUAGUGAAGAGUGGGACUCUGUUGAGCUAUCUUGUAAGAAAUGGUAUUUUGAAGAUGAUGAGCUAUGUAAUUAUAACUACUGAUGUGCACUCAUUUCCAUAGUUGGAAUGUUUAAUAGAUGAAGUAAAUCAGGAAUUUGUUUUUGAGUGCGAGUAAGUAUUGACGAGUGGUAAGUUAGAACCAUGGAUGGUAAAGAAUGAUUCUUGAACGAAUGAGUAAAGAGGGCCAGAGUUGGGUAUAACCUAGAAGUCUAAUUGAUAAUGAUGGUUGCAAUGACAGAAUGUAGCGUGUUGAGUAAUUCUGGUGUGACCUAAGAGGAGCCAGACAAUUGGAAUUCAAUGGUAUAGAAAUAUGAGUAUUGGGUUCUUGAAGGAAGCAGUUGGUAAAGAAUGUAAGUAUUACUUUAUCGCUCAAUUGGAAGAGUGUGCCUAAGGUUAGUACAUGGGUAAAUGGAAUCCAUUACUAAAGUGUUGAUCAGUUGUGAACAUACCAUGGAUUGUGUAAUUGUAUUAUUCAGUUAUUGAGUGUAUUGUAUGGAUCACACCUCGAAGUUUAAUUGUUGUUAACCGUUGGAGCUAUAGCGAGUGGUAUACCUUGGGAAUGGUCAAAUGCGACGUAAGAGCUGAGAUUGAAUGCAUGAGGCAUGCUUAUGUUGGUUAUGUCAGAUGAACUUGGAGGUUCGACUAAGAAGGUGUUAACGGAGAAUGGGAGAGUCAAAUGAAGUACUCCUAUCCCGAGACUUUUCGUCUAAGGUAUGUUUUCGAGGACGAAAACUCUUUUAGUGGGGGAGAGUUGUAACACCCCAUAAUUUCAGUUUAUUAAUUUAAUUUGGAUUUAAAUUAAAUAAUUGGAAUUUUAGUAAUUUUAUUUGGAAUUAUUUGGAAAAUGGUGAAAUAUUGGCAUUUGGGCCUAGAGUGGUGGUUAGCAGAAGAGGGGGUGUUGACUAAGCAAACCCAUUAUAAUAUUUUAUUUUAUUUUUCAUAAAAUAAAGGAAUUGGAAAAAAAAAAAGAAGAAGAAGCAGUAGAAGCAGAUUUUGGAAAAGGAGAACACGUGAAAGUGAGAAGAGCCAAAGGGGGAGAAGAACUUCGAAGAUUCGACUCUGAGAUUAAGGAUGUAGCGGCGUCUUGAUUGGGUGAAGAUAGCUUGUAAGCUAGCCCGUAGUUCGUGUCGAGUCAUGCUCUGAUUGUAACACUGGGGAACGAUAGUUUAGAGACGAAUUAUUAUGUCAGUCUUGUUGUUUUAUGAUCGUUUUAGAAUAACUUGCAUGGAUAAUGAAUAUGCAAUGUUAUGGAUUAUUGUCCGCUGUGUUGAACAUGAAUUGUAAUUAUGUUAAGUGGUUCCUCGUGUAGCAUGACAAAUGACUAUGGUAUUUUUAUGUUAAAGAAGUUGUGACAUCCUUGUAUUUCAUGUUUACUCUGAAUAUUAUUCUAUUUUCCGCGGGGGUUUAGAAGGGUGUUACAAUAGUGGUAUCAGAGCAUAGUCGGUCGUUGUGACCAGAGUCUUGUUGUUAAUUUUUCCUUUCGGUAUGCGACAUGUGUGUGAAACACUGUCGGUACUCAGUGUGUUCUAACUGUUUGCCUGCAAAAGUGGGAUUGAAACUAGUGGGGGAGAAGUCAUGCUUCUCGGAGAUGUCUCAGAUACAAGAUGUUAGAGUGAUGCGUAGGGCAGCAGUACAAGAGUGUGGAGUUAUUGUUUUCUGAAGUGAAGGUGACAUGGGCUGAAGACUGUGGUUGUUAUUCAGUCGGAGUGUCUCGGAGUAGAUAAUGGUUAUUUCUUAGAAAUGGAAUUUCGAAGUUGUGAUGCUUCAAGUGCUACUGAUGGACUGCGAUGUUGUUGUGUGAGUAGCCCUAUGUGAAAGGUCGCUGUUGAAGCAGUGAUUAAAGGAAGUAUUGUUGUAGACCUUGUCGUAGGAUUACUAGUAAGUAAUUGAGAUGAUAGUAGAGGUUAUCGAUGUUGUUGAGAAAGUUUCGAAGUGCGAGUAAUGCGAAGAGACGAGUAGGGUCUCAAGGAUAAGAAGGUUGAUGAUGGCGUACAUGAAUUUGGUUUCAGUAUGUUGCGGAAAUCGAAUUUCAGCGAGGAAAUGUGUUGUUUAAGUUAUAAGAAGUUUGGAAGCGAAGAGAUGUGAUAAGAUGAUGUUAAUAAUGAGAUUAAUUUGAAAAGAAUGAGUUUUGGAGCGGAAUUUCCGUAAGCAAAUCGCAGGAAGAUUACUGAAUCGUUAUGAAAUUUCGAAAAUUCAUAACUGGAGUUCUGGACAUCCGAUUUGAGUUCCGUUUGAAGCGUCGGAAAGCUAAAGAGAUGGUGUUUGUUAUAAAAAUGGUUGCAGCAGCUGUAACAUAUUUAAUUGUGACCGGGUGUUGUUGGAAGGAGGUGAAGUUACGGUUACACUUGUCCUUAGAACUAGAUUGUUCGUUGGUGCGGCAUGGGAUGUCAGUGUCAGAGUUAAACAGAAUAAAGGAAUAAUGAGGAGGCUUGUUGAGAGGCAACCUUAGAGAUUAAAUGUGCCAAUUGGGAAGUUUUGGAGAUGUCGUAUAGAGUUUCGUUGCAUGGUAUCGGUAUUGUAUCUUGGGUAACGGUUGGAAACAUUCAUAUCUUGAACUCUGAGUAUCGGAUUAGGGUGUCGUUUGAGACUACGAAGAGGUGAGAUUAUGUUAUAACUUGUGGAAGAGUUAUAAAUACAGUAGAGUGGUCCUAUGAGGAGAUAUUAUGAUGUUGGAUAAAGAGGCCUAGACCAGUGUUGAAAUAGGAAUGCUUAUUACCGCGAUUGUUCGGAACGAAGUCGAGUAGAAUAUGUCGUUGAUGAAUAAGAUGAUAAAGAUGAUUUAAGUAUUAAUGGAAUUGAGUGAUGAGGGAAUCAGUAGAAAAAGUGAAAUAGACUUUGGAACCAUUUGUGGUAUAUUGUGAUGCGUCGUUGAUGGGUUUGGAUGGUGUAUUGAUGUAAAAUCAGUAAGUAGUAACUUAUGCGUCGGGAUGAUUGAAAGCGCCGGAAAGGAAUUAUCUGACUCAUGAUUUAGAAUUGGCAGCCAUGGUUUGUUUGAAGUUGCGGUGACGUUAUUUGUAUGGUUCGAGGUUCGAAGUGUUUAGUGAUCAUAAGAGUCUGGAGUACCCUUUUGAUCAGCAAGGACUUAAUGUGAAGCAAUAGAAAUGGUUAGAGUUUUUGGAUUAUCAUCUUGGUGAAGAAAAUGUUGUGCCGAUGCCCUGAGUAGGGAAUCUCUGUAAUGUCGAUGCUGAUGGUGAAAGAGUUGGAUUUAAUUGAACAAUUCAGAGAAUUAAGUUUGGUAUGUGAAGGUGUUUCUACUAAUGUUGGAUUGGGUAUGCUGAGACUGACUAAUGGUAUUCCUGACGAGAUUAGAGGAAAUCAGAAAGUUGAUGUUGAGUUGAUCGAUAAGUCUACUUUGGAUUACCAAAGUAAAGAUGACGGGUUCACAAUCGGAGAGGAUGGUAUAAUGAGGUUGGGGGUCGCUGUUGUGUUCCGCGUGUUACCGAGUUGAGAAAGAAUAUUCUAGAAGAAGGACACCAUAGAGAAUUAUUAGACUAUGGCAAUGUUAAUGAGUUUGGGUGCAAACUCGGAAAAAACGCUAUUAUGUAGUAACAACGGUUUAUGCUUAAAUAUGAUUGUCGGCUAUCUAUUGACAAAUUGAGGACUUGAUCACCCUUAAUCUCUUGUCGAUAAUAGGCGGAAUUAUAUAGGUGGUAUAAGAUUGCUUGUUACCUUAAUGGUAUAAGAUGUGAUGAAUGCUGAGAUGUGAGAACAACCACUCACCAUAUUGUGGGAACUUAUGAAGAAGUGAAUAUGAAGGAGUGCAAAGCAUUGGACGGUGACUUAAGACGAGUAGCGUAGUCGUACAGCGAAAGUAUGAUGUAAAGUGGUGUUAUGAGUGCUACUCGUGAGUAGUGAGAAUUAAUAUGUCGGGGUUCUACAUGGAGAAUAUGUGUUUAUCUAUAUGUGGGGUUUAGAAUCUCGUGGACGUAAGGAUGUCGUGCCAAAGGAUUAUGACCUUUUGAAUAAUUGCCGAGGUGAUGGAUAUCCUAUUACGGUUGUACGUAGUUAACGAGUAGGCAUUCGGAGAAGUUAAGAAGAAGAAUUGAUAUUACGUGAUGCUAUAAUAAUCUUAUGAUGUUGUAAGGUAUUGUGUGGAUUUCUAAUUGAAGUGAAGGAUUAUACUCUACGAAGGACGAAGUUGACUUCAUUCUUAGUGAAGAGUGGGACUCUGUUGAGCUAUCUUGUAAGAAAUGGUAUUUUGAAGAUGAUGAGCUAUGUAAUUAUAACUACUGAUGUGCACUCAUUUCCAUAGUUGGAAUGUUUAAUAGAUGAAGUAAAUCAGGAAUUUGUUUUUGAGUGCGAGUAAGUAUUGACGAGUGGUAAGUUAGAACCAUGGAUGGUAAAGAAUGAUUCUUGAACGAAUGAGUAAAGAGGGCCAGAGUUGGGUAUAACCUAGAAGUCUAAUUGAUAAUGAUGGUUGCAAUGACAGAAUGUAGCGUGUUGAGUAAUUCUGGUGUGACCUAAGAGGAGCCAGACAAUUGGAAUUCAAUGGUAUAGAAAUAUGAGUAUUGGGUUCUUGAAGGAAGCAGUUGGUAAAGAAUGUAAGUAUUACUUUAUCGCUCAAUUGGAAGAGUGUGCCUAAGGUUAGUACAUGGGUAAAUGGAAUCCAUUACUAAAGUGUUGAUCAGUUGUGAACAUACCAUGGAUUGUGUAAUUGUAUUAUUCAGUUAUUGAGUGUAUUGUAUGGAUCACACCUCGAAGUUUAAUUGUUGUUAACCGUUGGAGCUAUAGCGAGUGGUAUACCUUGGGAAUGGUCAAAUGCGACGUAAGAGCUGAGAUUGAAUGCAUGAGGCAUGCUUAUGUUGGUUAUGUCAGAUGAACUUGGAGGUUCGACUAAGAAGGUGUUAACGGAGAAUGGGAGAGUCAAAUGAAGUACUCCUAUCCCGAGACUUUUCGUCUAAGGUAUGUUUUCGAGGACGAAAACUCUUUUAGUGGGGGAGAGUUGUAACACCCCAUAAUUUCAGUUUAUUAAUUUAAUUUGGAUUUAAAUUAAAUAAUUGGAAUUUUAGUAAUUUUAUUUGGAAUUAUUUGGAAAAUGGUGAAAUAUUGGCAUUUGGGCCUAGAGUGGUGGUUAGCAGAAGAGGGGGUGUUGACUAAGCAAACCCAUUAUAAUAUUUUAUUUUAUUUUUCAUAAAAUAAAGGAAUUGGAAAAAAAAAAAGAAGAAGAAGCAGUAGAAGCAGAUUUUGGAAAAGGAGAACACGUGAAAGUGAGAAGAGCCAAAGGGGGAGAAGAACUUCGAAGAUUCGACUCUGAGAUUAAGGAUGUAGCGGCGUCUUGAUUGGGUGAAGAUAGCUUGUAAGCUAGCCCGUAGUUCGUGUCGAGUCAUGCUCUGAUUGUAACACUGGGGAACGAUAGUUUAGAGACGAAUUAUUAUGUCAGUCUUGUUGUUUUAUGAUCGUUUUAGAAUAACUUGCAUGGAUAAUGAAUAUGCAAUGUUAUGGAUUAUUGUCCGCUGUGUUGAACAUGAAUUGUAAUUAUGUUAAGUGGUUCCUCGUGUAGCAUGACAAAUGACUAUGGUAUUUUUAUGUUAAAGAAGUUGUGACAUCCUUGUAUUUCAUGUUUACUCUGAAUA